GUCCAACUUUCAGCUAACCGUAACACUAACAUCUGUAAAUAUUGACGCUAUUGCAAAGCUACUGUCCAAGCACCCAUCUAAGCAUCUGGUGGAGUAUUUAAUAACAGGUUUUUUCCCAAGGGUUGCCAGGAGGGACUUGGGAGUUUAAUAAUCUACAGUCGGCCUUGGCCAGUAAGCAGUAGAGGCAUUGCUAUUGAACGAACAAGAGUAAGGGUUUGUACUAGGGCCAUUCACAGAAUCCCCUUUCUCUAACUGGAGGACUAACCCUAUU